GAUGAAGAACGUAGUGAAAUGCGAUAAGUAAUGUGAAUUGCAGAAUUCAGUGAAUCAUCGAAUCUUUGAAUGCACAUUGCGCCCCUUGGUAUUCCGAGGGGCAUGCCUGUUCGAGCGUCAUUAUAACCCCUCAAGCUCAGCUUGGUGUUGGGGCCUGCUGCACUGGCAGCCCUUAAAAUCAGUGGCGGCGCCAUCUGGCUCUAAGCGUAGUAAUUCUUCUCGCUAUGGAGUCCUGGUGGAUGCUUGCCAUCAACCCCCAAUUUUUCUAUGGUUGACCUCGGAUCAGGUAGGGAUACCCGCUGAACUUAAGCAUAUCAAUAAGCGGAGGA
rnacentral:misc_RNA from 1 species